UACCAGAUGACUGAAAUGUAAGUCCAGGUCUUUUAAACCUGUUAUAGUAGGGCGCUACUUCUGAUAACC
rnacentral:tRNA from 1 species